ensembl:snoRNA SNORA73 Small nucleolar RNA SNORA73 family
UCAAAAUGCACAUCUUUUCUGGGCUCUUUCCAGAUAGCAUAGGGAAACAGAGGGCUCUGCCCUAUGAUGUACAGUCCCUUUCCACCAUGGUGGAGAUUAAGCUUGGCUUGUGUCUGAGACUACAUAUUUCUAAAACUUCUCAGAGUCCAGUGGACAAAGACAGGAGAUGCACCAUGCAGAAAAGAGUC